AGAGUUUGAUUCUGGCUCAGAACGAACGCUGGCGGCGUGGGAUAAGACAUGCAAGUCGUGCGACAGACCAGGAAUUGAUUACUUCGGUUUGAUUUUCCUGACGAUGAGCGGCGAACGGGUGCGUAACACGUGAGAAAUCUGCCCUUAAGUUCGGAAUAGCCCUACGAAAGUAGAUUAAUACCGGAUGUGGCCCAGGAAAGGCAUCUUCCCACUGGCUAAAGCUUGACCAGCAAUGGUUAGAGCGCUUUUGGAUGAUCUCGCGGUCUAUCAGCUUGUUGGUGAGGUAACGGCUCACCAAGGCUUUGACGGAUAGCUGGUCUGAGAGGAUGAUCAGCCUCACUGGAACUGAGACACGGUCCAGACACCUACGGGUGGCAGCAGUCGAGAAUCAUUCACAAUGGGCGCAAGCCUGAUGGUGCGACGCCGCGUGGGGGAUGAAGGGCUUCGGUUCGUAAACCCCUGUCAUCUGUGAGUAAGACUCCCAAUAAAAGCUUGGGAGGUUGAUAUUAGCAGAAGAGGAAGGGACGGCUAACUCUGUGCCAGCAGCCGCGGUAAUACAGAGGUCCCAAGCGUUGUUCGGAUUUACUGGGCGUAAAGGGUGCGUAGGCGGCUAGAAAAGUUUGGUGUGAAAUCUUCGGGCUCAACCCGGAAACUGCACUGAAAACUAUCUGGCUAGAGGAUCGGAGAGGAGAUUGGAAUUCUCGGUGUAGCAGUGAAAUGCGUAGAUAUCGAGAGGAACACCAGUUGCGAAGGCGGAUCUCUGGACGGUUCCUGACGCUGAGGCACGAAAGCUGGGGUAGCGAAGAGGAUUAGAUACCCUCGUAGUCCCAGCCGUAAACGGUGCACACUUGCUGUGGGCGGAUUCGACCCCGUCCGUGGCGAAGCUAACGCGAUAAGUGUGCCGCCUGGGGAGUACGGUCGCAAG
rnacentral:rRNA from 1 species